GAUGAAGAACGUAGCGAAAUGCGAUAAGUAGUGUGAAUUGCAGAAUUCAGUGAAUCAUCGAAUCUUUGAACGCACAUUGCGCCCCUUGGUAUUCCAUGGCAUGCCUGUUCGAGCGUCAUUUGUACCUUCAAGCUCUGCUUGGUGUUGGGUGUUUGUCUCGCCUCUGCGCGUAGACUCGCCUCAAAACAAUUGGCAGCCGGCGUAUUGAUUUCGGAGCGCAGUACAUCUCGCGCUUUGCACUCAUAACGACGACGUCCAAAAGUACAUUUUUACACUCUUGACCUCGGAUCAGGUAGGGAUACCCGCUGAACUUAAGCAUAUCAAUAAGCGGAGGA
rnacentral:misc_RNA from 1 species